rnacentral:rRNA from 1 species
AGCGAACGCUGGCGGCAGGCCUAACACAUGCAAGUCGAACGGGCCCUUCGGGGUUAGUGGCGGACGGGUGAGUAACACGUGGGAACGUGCCUUUAGGUUCGGAAUAGCUCCUGGAAACGGGUGGUAAUGCCGAAUGUGCCCUUCGGGGGAAAGAUUUAUCGCCUUUAGAGCGGCCCGCGUUUGAUUAGCUAGUUGGUGAGGUAAUGGCUCACCAAGGCGACGAUCAGUAGCUGGUCUGAGAGGAUGACCAGCCACAUUGGGGCUGAGACACGGCCCAAACUCCUACGGGAGGCAGCAGUGGGGAAUCUUGCGCAAUGGGCGAAAGCCUGACGCAGCCAUUGCCGCGUGGAUGAUGAAGGUCUUAGGAUUGUAAAAUCCUUUCACCGGUGAAGAUAAUGACUGUAGCCGGAGAAGAAGCCCCGGCUAACUUCGUGCCAGCCGCCGCCGUAACAC